UUGCAAGUGGAAAUGCCUGCUCUUCCUUAGGGGCAUAAAUAUGUUCAUAACAUUCUAUAUUAAAAAGAAAAAAGUUUUCAGGGCUAUGGUUUGGUAGUAGUAUAAUUCUUGUAUACAC